GCCUGGGUAGCUUAGCCGAUAGAGCAUCAGACUUUUGAUCUGAGGGUCCAGGGUUCAACUCCCUGUCCAGAUG